rnacentral:rRNA from 1 species
UACAGAGGGGGCAAGCGUUGUUCGGAAUUACUGGGCGUAAAGGGCGCGUAGGCGGCCUGCUAAGUCGAACGUGAAAUCCCCGGGCUCAACCCGGGAACUGCGUCCGAUACUGCCGUGCUUGAGGACUGGAGAGGAGACUGGAAUUUACGGUGUAGCGGUGAAAUGCGUAAAUAUCGUAAGGAAGACCAGUGGCGAAGGCGGGUCUCUGGACAGUUCCUGACGCUGAGGCACGAAGGCCAGGGGAGCAAACGGG